rnacentral:rRNA from 1 species
ACCUACGGGGGGCAGCAGUAGGGAAUCUUCCACAAUGGGCGCAAGCCUGAUGGAGCAACACCGCGUGAGUGAAGAAAGGUUUCGGCUCGUAAAGCUCUGUUGUUGGAGAAGAACGUGCGUGAGAGCAACUGUUCACGCAGUGACGGUAUCCAACCAGAAAGUCACGGCUAACUACGUGCCAGCAGCCGCGGUAAUACGUAGGUGGCAAGCGUUAUCCGGAUUUAUUGGGCGUAAAGCGAGCGCAGGCGGUCGCUUAGGGCUGAUGUGAAAGGCUUCGGCUUAAACGAAGAAGUG